AAAUUGAAGAGUUUGAUCAUGGCUCAGAUUGAACGCUGGCGGCAGGCCUAACACAUGCAAGUCGAGCGGUAGCACAGAGAGCUUGCUCUCGGGUGACGAGCGGCGGACGGGUGAGUAAUGUCUGGGAAACUGCCUGAUGGAGGGGGAUAACUACUGGAAACGGUAGCUAAUACCGCAUAAUGUCGCAAGACCAAAGUGGGGGACCUUCGGGCCUCAUGCCAUCAGAUGUGCCCAGAUGGGAUUAGCUAGUAGGUGGGGUAAUGGCUCACCUAGGCGACGAUCCCUAGCUGGUCUGAGAGGAUGACCAGCCACACUGGAACUGAGACACGGUCCAGACUCCUACGGGAGGCAGCAGUGGGGAAUAUUGCACAAUGGGCGCAAGCCUGAUGCAGCCAUGCCGCGUGUGUGAAGAAGGCCUUCGGGUUGUAAAGCACUUUCAGCGGGGAGGAAGGCGUUAAGGUUAAUAACCUUGGCGAUUGACGUUACCCGCAGAAGAAGCACCGGCUAACUCCGUGCCAGCAGCCGCGGUAAUACGGAGGGUGCAAGCGUUAAUCGGAAUUACUGGGCGUAAAGCGCACGCAGGCGGUCUGUCAAGUCGGAUGUGAAAUCCCCGGGCUCAACCUGGGAACUGCAUUCGAAACUGGCAGGCUAGAGUCUUGUAGAGGGGGUAGAAUUCCAGGUGUAGCGGUGAAAUGCGUAGAGAUCUGGAGGAAUACCGGUGGCGAAGGCGGCCCCCUGGACAAAGACUGACGCUCAGGUGCGAAAGCGUGGGGAGCAAACAGGAUUAGAUACCCUGGUAGUCCACGCCGUAAACGAUGUCGAUUUGGAGGUUGUGCCCUUGAGGCGUGGCUUCCGGAGCUAACGCGUUAAAUCGACCGCCUGGGGAGUACGGCCGCAAGGUUAAAACUCAAAUGAAUUGACGGGGGCCCGCACAAGCGGUGGAGCAUGUGGUUUAAUUCGAUGCAACGCGAAGAACCUUACCUGGUCUUGACAUCCACAGAACUUUCCAGAGAUGGAUUGGUGCCUUCGGGAACUGUGAGACAGGUGCUGCAUGGCUGUCGUCAGCUCGUGUUGUGAAAUGUUGGGUUAAGUCCCGCAACGAGCGCAACCCUUAUCCUUUGUUGCCAGCGGUUAGGCCGGGAACUCAAAGGAGACUGCCAGUGAUAAACUGGAGGAAGGUGGGGAUGACGUCAAGUCAUCAUGGCCCUUACGACCAGGGCUACACACGUGCUACAAUGGCAUAUACAAAGAGAAGCGACCUCGCGAGAGCAAGCGGACCUCAUAAAGUAUGUCGUAGUCCGGAUUGGAGUCUGCAACUCGACUCCAUGAAGUCGGAAUCGCUAGUAAUCGUAGAUCAGAAUGCUACGGUGAAUACGUUCCCGGGCCUUGUACACACCGCCCGUCACACCAUGGGAGUGGGUUGCAAAAGAAGUAGGUAGCUUAACCUUCGGGAGGGCGCUUACCACUUUGUGAUUCAUGACUGGGGUGAAGUCGUAACAAGGUAACCGUAGGGGAACCUGCGGUUGGAUCACCUCCUUACCUUAAAGAA
rnacentral:rRNA from 1 species